AUUAUUGCAUCUUAUAUAGUGCGAUGGUUUUGGUAUCCGCCCCCGUCGGCCCUCGUCCUGUCUAUGAUUCGGAUGUGGUUGUAUGUGAAUUGGAAAUGCCAACCGACACUAUUGUUGAGAGGUUAAAUUUAGUUGAAGAAGAAAACAAUUUAUUGAAG